rnacentral:rRNA from 1 species
UGGGGAAUAUUGGACAAUGGGCGCAAGCCUGAUCCAGCAAUGCCGCGUGUGUGAAGAAGGCCUGCGGGUUGUAAAGCACUUUAAGCAGGAAAGAAGGGUGGGGUGUUAAUACCAUCUCACAUUGACGUUACCUGCAGAAUAAGCACCGGCUAACUCCGUGCCAGCAGCCGCGGUAAUACGGAGGGUGCGAGCGUUAAUCGGAAUUACUGGGCGUAAAGCGUGCGUAGGCGGUUGGAUAAGUCUGAUGUGAAAGCCCUGGGCUUAACCUGGGAAUGGCAUUGGAUACUGUCGGACUGGAGUGUGGUAGAGGGUAGUGGAAUUUCCGGUGUAGCAGUGAAAUGCGUAGAGAUCGGAAGGAACACCAGUGGCGAAGGCGGCUACCUGGACCAACACUGACGCUGAGGUACGAAAGCGUGGGGAGCAAACAGG